UGGUCCCCGGACAAAUCGUCUGUCUUUGGCAGUUCGGCAGAGGAUGGAGUCUUGAACAUCUGGGAUCAUAACAAGGGACAAGGUGGUUGAUUUUCACUGGAAUGCACAUGAUCCAUGGACAAUUGUUAGCAUAUCUGACGAUGAUGAAAGUACUGGUGGGGGCGGGACCUUACAGAUAUGGCGGAUGAUCGAUUUAAUUUAUCAUCCACAGCAGGAGGUAAUUACGGAGCUCGAUAAAUUCAGAUCUCAUAUCCUCACUUGCUCAUCGCCGUAGAAUAGAACUUUUAGGAUUUAUUCAGAUUAUAAUGAUCUUGUGGAUUGUUGUUAAUAUCUUGAAUUUAUUGUACCGUUUAGAAUUCAUGGUGGGAUUUGCAGGAAGCUAAUAUGCAUUACAUCGUUGUGGAAACUCCAUCCCCUUAUCUGCUUGGUCAAUUCAACGA